CUCUUUGCAGGUCACUUUGUCGUUAUUUGUGGUUACGAUGCAGAUAAAGGUGAAUUUGACAUAAGGCCUGCCAGUUCUAGGUAUAAUACUUUUGGUUUCAUUUUGCAUGUUCAGUCCUUUCAGUGUAAAAUGUGAAAUAUUUCUUUUGUGAGUUAAUAAACUAUGUCUAGUUGUUAUUUCUGUAGUGCUUCAAAACGCAGUGCAGUUUUUGAAUUUAAUGGAUGAGAGAGGAAUCUUGCGUCAUGCAGAAACCAUGUCUAUCGUAAUUAAUAUGCUAGCAGCAGAUGACUUAGAUUGUGAGAGUAGAGAUAGACUGCGUGACUACUUACAGAGAUGCUUUGCUCAAAAUAAGUAUGUGAUAUUACAU
rnacentral:lncRNA from 1 species